AGCGGGAUAGGUUAGCAUGGUUCGACCGACGGGCUCAUAACCCGUAGAUCGAUGGUUCAAAUCCAUCUCCCGCUACCA
rnacentral:tRNA from 2 species